rnacentral:sRNA from 1 species
CAACUGCAACCGCACGUUUUAGGUAUUUUAAGUGGUAAAUGCCCACCACAUUACGGCGAGUCUAAGUCAA